rnacentral:tRNA from 1 species
GGCUCGGUAGCUCAGUCGGUAGAGCAUAGGACUGAAAAUCCUGGUGUCGGCGGUUCGAUCCCGUCCCGAGCCA